AGUGAACGCUGGCGGUAGGCCUAACACAUGCAAGUCGAACGGCAGCACAGUAAGAGCUUGCUCUUACGGGUGGCGAGUGGCGGACGGGUGAGGAAUACAUCGGAAUCUACUUUUUCGUGGGGGAUAACGUAGGGAAACUUACGCUAAUACCGCAUACGACCUACGGGUGAAAGCAGGGGAUCUUCGGACCUUGCGCGAUUGAAUGAGCCGAUGUCGGAUUAGCUAGUUGGCGGGGUAAAGGCCCACCAAGGCGACGAUCCGUAGCCGGUCUGAGAGGAUGAUCAGCCACACUGGAACUGAGACACGGUCCAGACUCCUACGGGAGGCAGCAGUGGGGAAUAUUGGACAAUGGGCGCAAGCCUGAUCCAGCCAUACCGCGUGGGUGAAGAAGGCCUUCGGGUUGUAAAGCCCUUUUGUUGGGAAAGAAAAGCAGCAGGUUAAGACCCCGCUGUUCUGACGGUACCCAAAGAAUAAGCACCGGCUAACUUCGU
rnacentral:rRNA from 1 species